ACGGGAGGCAGCAGUGGGGAAUAUUGGACAAUGGGGGAAACCCUGAUCCAGCGACGCCGCGUGAGUGAAGAAGUAUUUCGGUAUGUAAAGCUCUAUCAGCAAGGAAGAAAAUGACGGUACUUGACUAAGAAGCCCCGGCUAACUACGUGCCAGCAGCCGCGGUAAUACGUAGGGGGCAAGCGUUAUCCGGAUUUACUGGGUGUAAAGGGAGCGUAGGCGGCCAGACAAGUCAGGUGUGAAAACCCGGGGCUUAACCCCGGGACUGCACUUGAAACUGCCUGGCUGGAGUGCAGGAGAGGCAAGUGGAAUUCCUAGUGUAGCGGUGAAAUGCGUAGAUAUUAGGAAGAACACCGGUGGCGAAGGCGACUUGCUGGACUGAGACUGACGCUGAGGCUCGAAAGCGUGGGGAGCAAACAGGAUUAGAUACCCUGGUA
rnacentral:rRNA from 1 species